UUUCCUCAGGCACUAGUCUACAUUUCCAGUAAAAACUUGCUCGGCCACUUGUAUAGAAAGAGUAAUUAAUAUUUGAAUACUCAACUGACUGGUUCUCCUCGGGAGCAAGUAGCCAAGUAAACAUCCAAGAGAGAACAAGGGAAGGAACAAAAUGGCGCCAAGCCCAAAAGAAAAGUGUCUCAAUCAUCCUGCAACACCCUGGACGUGCCCACACAACAACAUCCUCUCUCCAGAGGUUCCUCAGGAUCCAGGAUGUGACAGAGGGGACACGUGCUCUGGAAAAGGAAAAACUAGCUGAGAUCGAAGGGCAUGUUCAAGCAGAAAGCUGUGCAACAGCGAGGGCUGCGAAGCUGACAAGGUUACUGAAAUCCAUUGAAGAUGGAAAAACAAACAUCAGAGUGAAAAAAGAACAAGGGUCCACAGGUAUGACGAAUCCAGGAAGAAUUAGCACAAAGAAAUAAAUGCAUGAGGUAAGUGCUUCAUAAUUAUUAAAGGUGGUUCACUUCAUCAGACUCUGAACAUAUCAGUGGCCAAAACAAAGAGGAAAACAUGACCAGUUACAGGAUUUAUGCUGUCCUUAUGGUAAAAACAUACUAGCUAUGCAGGACAAGGAGUUUACCCUGACA